rnacentral:rRNA from 1 species
GAUGAACGCUGGCGGCGUGCCUAAUACAUGCAAGUCGAGCGAACGGACGAGAAGCUUGCUUCUCUGAUGUUAGCGGCGGACGGGUGAGUAACACGUGGAUACCCUACCUAUAAGACUGGGAUAACUUCGGGAAACCGGAGCUAAUACCGGAUAAUAUUUUGAACCGCAUGGUUCAAAAGUGAAAGACGGUCUUGCUGUCACUUAUAGAUGGAUCCGCGCUGCAUUAGCUAGUUGGUAAGGUAACGGCUUACCAAGGCAACGAUGCAUAGCCGACCUGAGAGGGUGAUCGGCCACACUGGAACUGAGACACGGUCCAGACUCCUACGGGAGGCAGCAGUAGGGAAUCUUCCGCAAUGGGCGAAAGCCUGACGGAGCAACGCCGCGUGAGUGAUGAAGGUCUUCGGAUCGUAAAACUCUGUUAUUAGGGAAGAACAUAUGUGUAAGUAACUGUGCACAUCUUGACGGUACCUAAUCAGAAAGCCACGGCUAACUACGUGCCAGCAGCCGCGGUAAUACGUAGGUGGCAAGCGUUAUCCGGAAUUAUUGGGCGUAAAGCGCGCGUAGGCGGUUUUUUAAGUCUGAUGUGAAAGCCCACGGCGUCAACCGUGGAGGGUCAUUGGAAACUGGAAAACUUGAGUGCAGAAGAGGAAAGUGGAAUUCCAUGUGUAGCGGUGAAAUGCGCAGAGAUAUGGAGGAACACCAGUGGCGAAGGCGACUUUCUGGUCUGUAACUGACGCUGAUGUGCGAAAGCGUGGGGAUCAAACAGGAUUAGAUACCCUGGUAGUCCACGCCGUAAACGAUGAGUGCUAAGUGUUAGGGGGUUUCCGCCCCUUAGUGCUGCAGCUAACGCAUUAAGCACUCCGCCUGGGGAGUACGACCGCAAGGUUGAAACUCAAAGGAAUUGACGGGGACCCGCACAAGCGGUGGAGCAUGUGGUUUAAUUCGAAGCAACGCGAAGAACCUUACCAAAUCUUGACAUCCUUUGACAACUCUAGAGAUAGAGCCUUCCCCUUCGGGGGGCAAAGUGACAGGUGGUGCAUGGUUGUCGUCAGCUCGUGUCGUGAGAUGUUGGGUUAAGUCCCGCAACGAGCGCAACCCUUAAGCUUAGUUGCCAUCAUUAAGUUGGGCACUCUAAGUUGACUGCCGGUGACAAACCGGAGGAAGGUGGGGAUGACGUCAAAUCAUCAUGCCCCUUAUGAUUUGGGCUACACACGUGCUACAAUGGACAAUACAAAGGGCAGCGAAACCGCGAGGUCAAGCAAAUCCCAUAAAGUUGUUCUCAGUUCGGAUUGUAGUCUGCAACUCGACUACAUGAAGCUGGAAUCGCUAGUAAUCGUAGAUCAGCAUGCUACGGUGAAUACGUUCCCGGGUCU